rnacentral:rRNA from 1 species
UACGUAGGCAGCAAGCGUUGUUCGGAAUUACUGGGCGUAAAGAGUGUGUAGGCGGUGUUCUAAGUUUGGUGUGAAAUCUCCCGGCUUAACUGGGAGGGUGCGCCGGAAACUGGAGUGCUCGAGCGCGGGAGAGGAAAGCGGAAUUCCUGGUGUAGCGGUGAAAUGCGUAGAUAUCAGGAGGAACACCUGUGGUGUAGACGGCUUUCUGGACCGUAGCUGACGCUGAGACAUGAAAGCGUGGGUAGCAAACAGG